rnacentral:rRNA from 1 species
UACGUAGGGGGCAAGCGUUGUCCGGAAUUAUUGGGCGUAAAGAGCGUGUAGGCGGUCCGGUAAGUCAGCUGUGAAAGUCAAGGGCUCAACCCUUGAAUGCCGGUUGAUACUGUCGGGCUAGAGUCCGGAAGAGGCGAGUGGAAUUCCAGGUGUAGCGGUGAAAUGCGUAGAGAUCGGGAGGAACAUCUGUGGCGAAGGCGGCCAUCUGGACCAGCACUGACACUGAGGCACGAAAGCGUGGGGAGCAAACAGG